AAGAGCUCAAAUUUGAAAUCUGGCCCCUCCGGGGUCCGAGUUGUAAUUUGCAGAGGAUGCUUCGGGCGCGGUCCCCGUCUAAGUACCCUGGAACGGGUCGUCAUAGAGGGUGAGAAUCCCGUCUGGGACGGGUGGCCGUGUCCGUGUGAAGCUCCUUCGACGAGUCGAGUUGUUUGGGAAUGCAGCUCUAAAUGGGUGGUAAAUUUCAUCUAAAGCUAAAUAUUGGCCGGAGACCGAUAGCGCACAAGUAGAGUGAUCGAAAGAUGAAAAGCACUUUGAAAAGAGAGUUAAACAGCACGUGAAAUUGUUGAAAGGGAAGCGCUUGCGACCAGACUCGCCCGCGGGGGUUCAGCCGGUACUCGUACCGGUGUACUCCCCCGGGGGCGGGCCAGCGUCGGUUUGGGCGGUCGGUCAAAGGCCUCCGGAAUGUGUCGCCCCCCGGGGCGUCUUAUAGCCGGAGGUGCAAUGCGGCCAGCCUGGACCGAGGAACGCGCUUCGGCUCGGACGCUGGCGUAAUGGUC
rnacentral:rRNA from 1 species